rnacentral:tRNA from 1 species
CAGGGAGACAACAAAAUGUUAAAUAUUAAUUUUGUCACCUUAGGUCGAUCGGUAUCUCACAUUCUUAAUCAAUUUAAGAAUUUUAUUUCCUAAGUUUUUCUAGGUCACACCCAUCAUUUUCCCUGGGCCAUUAGCUCAGGUGGUUAGAGCGCACCCCUGAUAAGGGUGAGGUCCCUGGUUCAAGUCCAGGAUGGCCCAUAUCUCUAUGUUGGGGGUAUAGCUCAGUUGGUAGAGCGCCUGCUUUGCAAGCAGGAUGUCAGCGGUUCGAGUCCGCUUACCUCCACUGAUUACCACCUCUUCCAUAAUUUAAAGAAGGGAAAUUUUAGGUUGUGAUCUAAUUCUGAACGAAUCUAGCUUCCUAAUUAAACUUAUUAAGAUGCUGGACUCAUUGAAUUAAUUUCAUUGUUUUCAGAGAACCUUGACAACUGCAUAGAUUAUUUUUAAAGACAAUAAGCAUCUUUAAUGAUGCAGAUUUAUUAUUUGUGCUAAUGCAUUAAUAACAAUUCUAUUAAGCUGAUGCUUCAUUUUUGAAGUUAUU